UUAAGUUCAGCGGGUAUCCCUACCUGAUCCGAGGUCAACCUUAAGAAGUUGGGGGUUACUGGCAAGUAUCCACCAGGCAUCUAUAGCGAGAAUAAUUACUACGCUUAGAGCCAGACGGCACCGCCACUGGGUUUGAGGCCCACCGUUACCGGUGGUGCCCAAGGCCAAGCAGAGCUUGAGGGUUGUAAUGACGCUCGAAC
rnacentral:misc_RNA from 1 species